CCCUUCGGGGUACUCGAGCGGCGAAAGGGAGAGUAACGCGUGGAUCAUCUGCCCUCGGAUCCGGGAUAGCUGUGGGAAACCGCAGGUAAUACCGGAUAACGUCUCCGGACCAAAGGUGCGAUUCCGUCCGAGGAUGAGUCCGCGUCCUAUUAGCUUGUUGGUGGGGUAACGGCCUACCAAGGCUGCGAUGGGUACCGGGUGUGAGAGCAUGACCCGGCUCACUGGGACUGAGACACUGCCCAGACACCUACGGGUGGCUGCAGUCGAGAAUCUUCGGCAAUGGACGAAAGUCUGACCGAGCGACGCCGCGUGCGGGAUGAAGGCCUUCGGGUUGUAAACCGUUGUCAGUUGGGAGGAAAUCGUUGGGGGUUCUCCCCCAUCGUUGACCUAUCUUCAGAGGAAGUACGGGCUAAGUUCGUGCCAGCAGCCGCGGUAACACGAACCGUACGAACGUUAUUCGGAAUCACUGGGCUUAAAGGGUGCGUAGGCGGCUCGGCAAGUUGGGUGUGAAAUCCCUCGGCUCAACCGAGGAAUUGCGCUCAAAACUGCCGGGCUAGAGGGAGACAGAGGUAAGCGGAACUCAGGGUGGAGCGGUGAAAUGCGUUGAUAUCCUGGGGAACACCAGUGGCGAAGGCGGCUUACUGGGUCUCUUCUGACGCUGAGGCACGAAAGCUAGGGUA
rnacentral:rRNA from 1 species